AAACACGGGAGAAAGCCCUGGACUAGAAACCACAAAUCGAUCCAAGAAUCGCUAAGCUCGAUCGAUCGCCGUAACAGUGGUGCCGACACAGCAUGGCGACCAGAGCUGCGUCUCUUGCUCUCGGUGCUCUCCUCGCACUCUCCCUAGUGUGUCAGGCAGUCUCUCGUGUGGAUCCUGCCGGAGGGGUGGCGGUGGAAGGGUACCCAUGCGGCAACGUGGUCGUCAUCCGCGUCCCGCACGACGGUGUCUGCCAGCGGGACCGUUGCGGUGGGCUGUGUGUGGAGCAGUUCAUGUGGAAGUACCCGGGCAUCAAGGCCGUCAUAGGCGACUGCACGACGGAGAAUACCCACGAAUGCAUAUGCUCUUUUAUUUGCUAGUUGAACUUGGUGUACAAUUGUAGUAGUCAAUUUUGUGAUGUUGUUUGGCUCAGAGGAAAUAAAACUUGCUGCACAUUCUUUUUU